GGAACGAUAGCAUAAGGAUUGCAAACCUUCUGAGGAAGGAACUGUCUUCCCUUUACUACAGACAGAAGUCAACUCUAUUAAGUUUCUAUGUCUCUAAAAAUGUUCACCAGUCUGUCUACAUUGCAAAAACUCUUAAAAAUCCAACAGCAAUGUCUUUACAUGGACAGAUGAAAGCAAUCGGAGCUUUAAAUGGGAUCUGUGCAUUGUAUUCCAUCUUAACUGACCCAGGGAACCUCAUCUGUCUCACUUGCUGCCUGAAGCUGGGGCUGCAGCUCAGCAAUAGCUGAUGCUCAUCUAACUGUUGGCUGACGUGGUUCUACCCUCCCUGGCAGGCAAUUGAAAUUGCUAUACAACCGCAGCUUAAAUUAUCUAACCUGGGUUAGGUAACCCAAUUUAAGAACACACCUUUCUUUGUGGUAUGUUUCAGCAUGACUUUCAUGUUGGUUUUAUGUUUCUCACUAAAACAGAGACUGGUAUGGAAAACGAAUGCAUUCAGAAAAGCACUUCUGAGCUCCACCGGAGAUUCCGCCUUUGGCUACAACAGGCACAGCCUUAAGUCCUGAGAAAAUUCCAUAUACUCCCUGUGACUCAUUUCAGCAUACCUUGCUCAGGCAAAGCUUCCACUUAACUUAAUAGGAUAUUUUUUUAAAAGGACCAGACUGGUAGUUACACAGGAUAUAACUGUCAGAUUGUCAUAUCAAGAAAAGUUAAUUCCUUUUUGGGGAGGGGUAAAAGGGAACUGGGUAGCAUAGGUGGUAAAAAAUGUCCCUUUUAACAAUAGCAAGCUAUUAAAAAAUGUGUGUAUAAAAAUGCUUUGGCUUUUUUUUUCUUCAUCAUUUUGGUCCUCUUUCAGCUCAUACUAUAUGUUCAAUACAUAAGCUGUACUAUGAGCUAAAAAUUUUAUUUCAUUACAGUUAAGCACAUGCUUAAAUGAUUUGCUGGACCGAGGCCAGAAUGCUUACUGAAUCAGUGAAAUCCAGCAAUGUCUGUUCUUCCCCCUUAAACAAACAAUCACUAAAUGCAAUGCAAUAAAAUAACAUUCCCAGAGAAAUCUAUGCCACAGAAAGAACUGCUGCACUGUUGUAUUAGUAAUUUGUCUUCUGCCCAGUAUCUGCACUGUUCACACAAGUGUAACGCAGUAACUUGUGGGUAAGACUUCAAUUUUAUCCUCAUGUUUUAUUGGACAUACUUCUGUAGAGGAAGAAAGUAAAAUGAAACUAAGUCUGGAAACAAAAGAUGGAAAUAUAUUUCCAAAUUGCUUAACUUAAUGAAGUACAUAAUGAUAUUGCAGUGUUUACAAUACCAGUGGAACCCUGAAAAACUAUGGAUUCACUUCCCUCGCUUGGGUGUACAACCCAAGACUUAUGCAGUGAGACUUACCUCAUAGAGCUAUGUCAGACUCUGUGAGGCUAGCUUCAUCAAAACUAUUGAUUUAAUGCCUAUUUCCGGUAUAAAUGGUAAAAUAAGAAUAAGACCAGUUAUUAGAUAUUCUGUGUUAAUUUUUCAACCAUGAUGAAACAUAACCCAUCUGUUUUUCUAUUCUAACUAGAGCCAAUUAAAUAUAUUCUCAUUUUUAUUGUACUUUGUUGCUAGGAGCAUUAAAUAUAUUGACAAGUAAGCCAGAUAAAAUGACCAGAAAAACUGUAAAAGAAGGAACAAAUAUUGGACAAUACCCAAAAUCAUAUCAAUUGCCUGUGAACUGUGAAUAUUAAGAGCCAGUGAAAUAGCAGGAAUCUAUUCUGACUUCAUUCAAAUCUGAAUCAAAUCCUAAACCACAGUGAGUUGUUCCUGUGGGGAGGGCAGUUUUUACUAUUUUUCUUCACCUAGAUACACAAUGCAGUGCAGAGUUCACAAAAUGUUUUUUUUUUACAUGUGCAUUCCCAUUAUCGAACAAAACAAAACAGUAUUUUUAAGUCUUUAGACCUGCAGUAAAACCAUGAUGCUCCACUGUUUGCAGCGGAGUUAUGGGUUCUCUUCUACCUUUAGAAUUCUUUGUUAUUUCAGAAUGCUAAAUAUUCCACAAAGCAUUCUGCUCUGUUCCCGAGAUAGGGAGCUAAGGCAGAAGAAUCAAGUGAUUUAUGCAGAGCUAUUGAAGGACAAGGGUUUGAUGGCUUCAAAGUAGAAGCUGUUGGUUCCCAAUCUUUCGUCCUAACUUAUCUCCUCAGUCUUUCACCCCCAAUUUUCUUACAAUGAAACUAAGUAACUGUUAUUAAUGGAGUGCCUAUUCAAGAUCUUCCCCAGAGAAUGACCCGUCCUUCUCUCUAGACUCUUCGCCCUAGACACAGAAGUCUUGCUGCUCAGAUAGAACAGCAGGAUUUGGCCUCAACAGAAAGGUCUGCUUUACACAUUUUCCACAAUGCAAGAUUCUGUUUGUUUUGAACUUCCUAAUCCUAUUUCUUUUUUCUUUCAUUCUGUAAUGUUGUGAUUGUUCUAUAAGCAACUACAGCUGGGUAAAUUCAGAAUGUAACUGGAAAAAUUAUACAGAGAAAGGCCAACUGACCCUGUCCCAGUUCCCACUGAAACCUACUGAUUUAGCAUUUGGAUCUGUCAGUUUAUCUAUGAGCUAGUAAGUGAAGGAGGCCUAAGACAGAGGUAUUAGCAGUGGGCUUUGACUGUCCCCACUGUUACAUCACCAUUACACUUCCUGGCAGGGCUUUGCCUCAACUAGUGUUAACCCAGCCAUGUUCAGGCACAGCUAUGGGUUAGCAGGGGCCAGGGAGCAUUCCCAAUAAGCAGUUUGUAUGUGGCCACCAUGUGCUGGAAGUUGGGGGACUUCGUUUUAAGAAUCAACUUAAUUAAUUGCAGCUCACAUUCAUGCGUGGUGCCAAGAAGAGUAUUCCCAAGGCCAAAGGAUUUCUCCUGCUGUCCUGGCAUUUGGACAUAUAUAGGUCUUAGCUGACAUUCAGAGCCAGGAAUGUGGCCAGACAAGGCUGUAACAUCUCACCUUCUUUCCUCCCUGCUUUCCAGAACUGGAUCUCAGAUGCAAAAUACACAUGUAGUAAUAGAUAACUUGCU